GAAAGUGAAUGCGUAGAUAGUGACGAAUAUCGAGUAGAACCUACAUUGUAUGAGGAACUCCAAUCGCACUGUACGAAUUACGCGUACCAUGCACCAUCAGAUGAUGAUGAUGUUGAUUACUUCUCUAAGCGUGAUGGUUGUUAUAGCUAUUUCAGCUGUAAUAAGUGUCAUAAGCUGCAUACUUCUGGUGUUAGUUGUGAUUCUUGAACGAGGGAUGAUUUGAAAGAUAACGGAACGAGUUUUUUUAUUAUCAUAU